AUCUACGGUCCAAACCAGUUAUGACUGCAAUGAAUGGUCUUCCACUUGUGUUGCUCAUCGUCUCUGCCCUGUUGAUAAAUGAGUGCUACACUGAUGACACAUCAAGGAGUGACAGUUGGGUAGACAAGUGUACGAAUACGACAUGCCAACGUAGGCCCAACCACCUCGGAUUUAGAGUGACAAGUGGUUGCCCUCCAGGCUGUUUAUGUAUCAUCAGAGAAGCCGAAAAUGUCGACUACGCGAACGGUACGUGCUAUGAACUAGCAACCACCACGACCAC